AAAACAUGAUCACCUAAAAUAAAAAUAAAAUGCGUGAAAGUGAGCCUCACUUUGAUUUGCUGAUUUUAUUUGUAUGUUUUCUUGUUGUUUUU
rnacentral:ribozyme from 1 species